UCAAUUCCAUAGCGUUUCAGUGCCUCCAGAGGCUCCCUGCCACCAACAAUAAGUUCACUUACAGCUGCGAUGCCCACAACUUCAAUUACCUCGUGGACAAUGGCUCAUUUAUCUCUUUCUCUGGUCAUCUCUCGUUCUCGGUCCCUUAGCCAUGGGACGUGGUAGAAAGCGGCAGCUACCGGAGUUAAUCGACGGAACUGCCAAAAAGGGAGGCACUGCCAGAAACCGACGGCAAUUCCCCGGAGUGUU
rnacentral:misc_RNA from 1 species